AUGAUGGCUCGUGAGGCGUCCGGACUGGCCCAGAGAGGUGGGCAACUACCACUCAGGGCCGGAAAGCUCUCCAAACUCGGUCAUUUAGAGGAAGUAAAAGUCGUAACAAGGUCUCCGUUGGUGAACCAGCGGAGGGAUCAUUACCGAGUUUACAACUCCCAAACCCCUGUGAACAUACCACUUGUUGCCUCGGCGGAUCAGCCCGCUCCCGGUAAACGGGACGGCCCGCCAGAGGACCCCUAAACUCUGUUUCUAUAUGUAACUUCUGAGUAGAACCAUAAAUAAAUCAAAACUUUCAACAACGGAUCUCUGGUUCUGGCAUCGAUGAAGAACGCAGCAAAUGCGAUAGUAAUGUGAUUGCAGAUUCAGUGAUCAUCGAUCUUGACGCACAUUGCGCCCGCAGUAUCUGGCGUCAUGCCUGUCGAGCGUCAUUCCACCCUCAGCACAGCUUGGUGGUGGGACUCGCGUCAUCCCGUCCUCAAAUGAUGCGGCACGUCGAGUUCCUAGCGAGUAUAAACCUCGUACUGGUAUCGUCGCGCCACGCCUUACCCACUCUGAUGUGACCUCGAUCAGUAGAUACCGUGACUAGCAUCAUAGCGAGAAGACAACGGAUGCUAUACGGAUGACGACGUCAAUGGAUGGCCGCCAUAUGAGAUCUUGCGGCUCGAUCGACGACUAGGAACCCUGGUGCAUUGAUCCCAGCAGUGAUGCUAGGAUGCUACAUCGGGAUUGCAAAAAGUCAAACUUGAGUAUCAAUGAAGAACUGCU
rnacentral:rRNA from 1 species